rnacentral:rRNA from 1 species
UACGUAGGGUGCAAGCGUUAAUCGGAAUUACUGGGCGUAAAGCGUGCGCAGGCGGUCUUGCAAGACAGAUGUGAAAUCCCCGGGCUCCACCUGGGAACUGCAUUUGUGACUGCAAGGCUGGAGUACGGUAGAGGGGGAUGGAAUUCCGCGUGUAGCAGUGAAAUGCGUAGAUAUCUGGAGGAACACCGGUGGCGAAGGCGGCUAUCUGGUCGAGUACUGACACUGAGACACGAAAGCAUGGGGAUCAAACAGG